rnacentral:rRNA from 1 species
GUUAUAUGGUCAAGUGAAGAAGCGCAUACGGUGGAUGCCUUGGCAGUCAGAGGCGAUGAAAGACGUGGUAGCCUGCGAAAAGCUUCGGGGAGUCGGCAAACAGACUUUGAUCCGGAGAUCUCUGAAUGGGGGAACCCACCUAGGAUAACCUAGGUAUCUUGUACUGAAUCCAUAGGUGCAAGAGGCGAACCAGGGGAACUGAAACAUCUAAGUACCCUGAGGAAAAGAAAUCAACCGAGAUUCCCUUAGUAGUGGCGAGCGAACGGGGAUUAGCCCUUAAGCUUCAUUGAUUUUAGCGGAACGCUCUGGAAAGUGCGGCCAUAGUGGGUGAUAGCCCCGUACGCGAAAGGAUCUUUGAAGUGAAAUCGAGUAGGACGGAGCACGAGAAACUUUGUCUGAACAUGGGGGGACCAUCCUCCAAGGCUAAAUACUACUGACUGACCGAUAGUGAACCAGUACCGUGAGGGAAAGGCGAAAAGAACCCCGGAGAGGGGAGUGAAAUAGAACCUGAAACCGUAUGCGUACAAGCAGUGGGAGCCUACUUGUUAGGUGACUGCGUACCUUUUGUAUAAUGGGUCAGCGACUUAUAUUCAGUGGCAAGCUUAACCGUAUAGGGUAGGCGUAGCGAAAGCGAGUCUUAAUAGGGCGUUUAGUCGCUGGGUAUAGACCCGAAACCGGGCGAUCUAUCCAUGAGCAGGUUGAAGGUUAGGUAACACUGACUGGAGGACCGAACCCACUCCCGUUGAAAAGGUAGGGGAUGACUUGUGGAUCGGAGUGAAAGGCUAAUCAAGCUCGGAGAUAGCUGGUUCUCCUCGAAAGCUAUUUAGGUAGCGCCUCAUGUAUCACUCUGGGGGGUAGAGCACUGUUUCGGCUAGGGGGUC